UUGGUUAAGUUAGAAAGGGCGCACGGUGGAUGCCUUGGCACUAGGAGCCGAAGAAGGACGGGACUAACACCGAUAUGCUUUGGGGAGCUGUACGUAAGCGUUGAUCCAGAGAUUUCCGAAUGGGGGAACCCACUAUCUUUAGUCGGAUAGUAUCCUUACGUGAAUACAUAGCGUGAGGAAGGCAGACCCAGGGAACUGAAACAUCUAAGUACCUGGAGGAAGAGAAAGAAAAAUCGAUUUCCUGAGUAGCGGCGAGCGAAACGGAAAGAGCCCAAACCAAGAAGCUUGCUUCUUGGGGUUGUAGGACACUCUAUACGGAGUUACAAAAGAAAGUUAUAAAUGAAGCGGUCUGGAAAGGCCCGCCAAAGACGGUAACAGCCCGGUAGUUGAAAUGGCUUUCCCUCCAGAGUGGAUCCUGAGUACGGCGGAACACGUGAAAUUCCGUCGGAAUCCGGGAGGACCAUCUCCCAAGGCUAAAUACUCCCUAGUGACCGAUAGUGAACCAGUACCGUGAGGGAAAGGUGAAAAGCACCCCGGAAGGGGAGUGAAACAGUUCCUGAAACCGUGUGCCUACAAGUAGUUAGAGCCCGUUAAUGGGUGAUAGCGUGCCUUUUGUAGAAUGAACCGGCGAGUUACGAUUUGUUGCAAGGUUAAGCGGAAAAAGCGGAGCCGUAGCGAAAGCGAGUCUGAAUAGGGCGCAUAAGUAACAGGUCGUAGACCCGAAACCAGGUGAUCUACCCAUGUCCAGGAUGAAGGUAAGGUAAUACUUACUGGAGGUCCGAACCCACGCACGUUGAAAAGUGCGGGGAUGAGGUGUGGGUAGCGGAGAAAUUCCAAUCGAACUUGGAGAUAGCUGGUUCUCUCCGAAAUAGCUUUAGGGCUAGCCUCGAGGUAAAGAGUCAUGGAGGUAGAGCACUGUUUGGACUAGGGGCCCUUCUCGGGUUACCGAAUUCAGAUAAACUCCGAAUGCCAUGUACUUAUACUCGGGAGUCAGACUGCGAGUGAUAAGAUCCGUAGUCGAAAGGGAAACAGCCCAGACCACCAGUUAAGGUCCCCAAAUAUAUGUUAAGUGGAAAAGGAUGUGGGGUUGCUUAGACAACCAGGAUGUUGGCUUAGAAGCAGCCACCAUUGAAAGAGUGCGUAAUAGCUCACUGGUCGAGUGACCCCGCGCCGAAAAUGUACCGGGGCUAAACAUAUUACCGAAACUGUGGAUGAACCUCUUUAGAGGUUCGUGGUAGGAGAGCGUUCUAAGGGCGGUGAAGUCAGACCGGAAGGACUGGUGGAGCGCUUAGAAGUGAGAAUGCCGGUAUGAGUAGCGAAAGAAGGGUGAGAAUCCCUUCCACCGAAUAUCUAAGGUUUCCUGAGGAAGGCUC
rnacentral:rRNA from 1 species